rnacentral:tRNA from 1 species
UCCCUGGUGGUCCAGUGGCUAAGACUCUGACCCCCAAUGCAGGGGCCCAGGUUCAAUACUUGGUCAGGGAA